rnacentral:tRNA from 1 species
GGAGGGGUGGCGGAGUUCGGCUUAACGCACCGGUCUUGAAAACCGGCAGGCCCGCAAGGGUCUCAUGGGUUCAAAUCCCAUCCCCUCCG